GGCUAGUUAGCUCAGUGAGGUGAGCACACUGCUGACAACAAUGACAACACCGAGGUCGCGGGUUCGAUUCCCGCUUGGUCC
rnacentral:tRNA from 1 species